UACAGGGGGGGCAAGCGUUGUUCGGAAUUACUGGGCGUAAAGGGUCUGUAGGUGGCCAACUAAGUCAGACGUGAAAUCCCUCAGCUUAACUGGGGAACUGCGUCUGAUACUGGAUGGCUCGAGUGUGGGAGAGGAAUGCGGAAUUCCAGGUGUAGCGGUGAAAUGCGUAGAUAUCUGGAGGAACACCGGUGGCGAAGGCGGCAUUCUGGACCGGAACUGACGCUGAGGCGCGAAAGCUAGGGGAGCGAAUGGG
rnacentral:rRNA from 1 species